GAUGAACGCUAGCGGCAGGCUUAAUACAUGCAAGUCGAGGGGCAGCACGAAUAGCAAUAUUUGGUGGCGACCGGCGCACGGGUGCGUAACACGUAUACAACCUACCUAUAACAGGGGGAUAGCCUUUCGAAAGAGAGAUUAAUACCCCGUAAUAAAUUGAGUGGCAUCACUUGAUUUUGAAAGCUACGGCGGUUAUAGAUGGGUAUGCGUCCUAUUAGCUAGUUGGUGAGGUAACGGCUCACCAAGGCGACGAUAGGUAGGGGAUCUGAGAGGACUAACCCCCACACUGGUACUGAGACACGGACCAGACUCCUACGGGAGGCAGCAGUAAGGAAUAUUGGUCAAUGGAGGCAACUCUGAACCAGCCAUGCCGCGUGCAGGAUGACGGCCCUAUAGGUUGUAAACUGCUUUUUGUACCAGAGAAAACCUACUCACGUGUGAGUAGCUGAUAGUAUGGUAAGAAUAAGCAUCGGCUAACUUCGUGCCAGCAGCCGCGGUAAUC
rnacentral:rRNA from 1 species